GACGAACGCUGGCGGUGUGCUUAACACAUGCAAGUCGAACGGAGAGGCCCUGCUUUUGUGGGGUGCUCGAGUGGCGAACGGGUGAGUAACACGUGAGUAACCUGCCCUUGACUUUGGGAUAACUUCAGGAAACUGGGGCUAAUACCGGAUAGGAGCUCCUGCUGCAUGGUGGGGGUUGGAAAGUUUCGGCGGUUGGGGAUGGACUCGCGGCUUAUCAGCUUGUUGGUGGGGUAGUGGCUUACCAAGGCUUUGACGGGUAGCCGGCCUGAGAGGGUGACCGGCCACAUUGGGACUGAGAUGCGGCCCAGACUCCUACGGGAGGCAGCAGUGGGGAAUAGUGCACGAUGGGCGGAAGCCUGAUGCAGCAACGCCGCGUGCGGGAUGACGGCCUUCGGGUUGUAAACCGCUUUCGCCUGUGACGAAGCGUGAGUGACGGUAAUGGGUAAAGAAGCACCGGCUAACUACGUG
rnacentral:rRNA from 1 species